GUCUGCAGCCAUACCAUCCUGAACACACCCUAUCUCCUCUGAUCUUGGAAGCUAAACAGGUCGGGCCUGGAUAGUACUUGGAUGAGAGUCUAUACUAAAUGCUUAUA
rnacentral:rRNA from 1 species